CCUACGGGCGGCAGCAGUGGGGAAUAUUGCACAAUGGGGGAAACCCUGAUGCAGCGACGCCGCGUGAGUGAAGAAGUAAUUCGUUAUGUAAAGCUCUAUCAGCAGGGAAGAAAAUGACGGUACCUGAGUAAGAAGCCCCGGCUAACUACGUGCCAGCAGCCGCGGUAAUACGUAGGGGGCAAGCGUUAUCCGGAUUUACUGGGUGUAAAGGGAGCGUAGACGGCAGUGCAAGUCUGAAGUGAAAUGCCGGGGCUCAACCAUCGGACUGCUAUGGAAACUGUACGGCUGGAGUGCAGGAGAGGUAAGCGGGAGUACUAGGGUAGCGGUGAAAUGCGGAGAUAGUAGGAGGAACACCAGUGGCGAAGGCGGCUUACUGGACUGUAACUGACGUUGAGGCUCGAAAGCGUGGGGAGCAAACAGGAUUAGAUACCCGGGUAGUC
rnacentral:rRNA from 1 species